UGGGGAAUAUUGGACAAUGGGGGAAACCCUGAUCCAGCAAUGCCGCGUGAGUGAAGAAGGCCUUAGGGUUGUAAAGCUCUUUCGGCGGGGACGAUGGUGACGGUACCCGCAGAAGAAGCCCCGGCUAACUUCGUGCCAGCAGCCGCGGUAAUACGAAGGGGGCUAGCGUUGUUCGGAAUCACUGGGCGUAAAGGGCGCGUAGGCGGCGCGACAAGUCAGGCGUGAAAGCCCCGGGCUCAACCCGGGAAUUGCGCUUGAUACUGUCGUGCUUGAGGCCGGGAGAGGAUGGCGGAAUUCCCAGUGUAGAGGUGAAAUUCGUAGAUAUUGGGAAGAACACCGGUGGCGAAGGCGGCCAUCUGGACCGGUUCUGACGCUGAGGCGCGAAAGCGUGGGGAGCAAACAGGAUUAGAUACCCCCGUAGUCC
rnacentral:rRNA from 1 species